ensembl:snRNA U6 U6 spliceosomal RNA
GAACUCACUUCAGCAGCACAGAUACUAAAAUUGCAACUAUACAGAGAAGAUAAGCAUGGGCCCUGUGCAAGGAUAACUUGCAAAUUCAUGAAGCAUUCCAUAAUUUG